GCCUCACGCCCGAAAGGGCGACGGUGUCGAGCCGGAGCGAGGAGUCAGCAGAGGUCGUAGUAGUCGGCGAUACGGCGAGGAGCUGCAUCGCGGCGAAGGAC
rfam:Bradyrhizobium sp. NAS80.1 Bradyrhizobium_NAS_80.1_rep_c4297, whole genome shotgun sequence.